rnacentral:rRNA from 1 species
AACAUGUUUUUUUGAAAAUAAUUUAAAGUUUAAUUUGCCCACUGAUNAAAUUAUUAAAGGGCUGCAGUAUUUUGACUGUACAAAGGUAGCAUAAUCAUUAGUCUCUUAAUUGGUGACUUGUAUGAAAGAUUGGAUGAAAUAUAUACUGUCUCUAUUUAAUUUAUAAAAUUUAAUUUUUUAGUAAAAAAGCUAAAAUGAAUUUAAAAGACGAGAAGACCCUAUAGAGUUUAAUAAUUUAUUUAAUUAUUAUUAAUGUAUAAAUUUUAAAAUUAAAAUUGAAUAAAUUAUUUUGUUGGGGUGAUAGAAAAAUUAAAUUAACUUUUUUUUUAUUUUAUACAUUAAUUUAUGAAUAAAUGAUCCAUUAAUAAUGAUUAAAAGAAAAAAUUACCUUAGGGAUAACAGCGUAAUUUUUUUUUUUAGUUCAAAUAGGAAAAAAAGUUUGCGACCUCGAUGUUGGAUUAAGAUAAAAAUUAAAUGCAAAAGUUUAAAAUUUUAAUCUGUUCGAUCAUUAAAAUCUUA